AUGUUUCCUGUCUCUUGGCACCCCUACCUCCCUGUUCUCUUCUUCCUCUGUCUUGCCGACCACCUCCACACCUCUGGUGUUAUCGCUGGUACAAAUGAGCUGGUCUAUAAUGGCUUUUCAGCUGAUCUGAAGCUUGACGGCAAAGCUUUGUGGAUAGAUGACCUGUUGAGUGUAACCAAUGGCCCAGGUGGUACAAGCGGCCAUGCUUUCUGCAGAUAUCCCCUAAGCUUUCAAGAUAAUCCCGGUGGUGCUAUCUCCUCCUUCUCAACUACGUUUGUGUUCGUCAUGGGCUUCAAGCAGUAUAAAGGUAAUGGGAUGGCCUUCAUACUUUCAUCCACCAGUGACUUACCAGAUGAUUCGCCAGGCGAGUACCUUGGCCUCCCGCAUUCUAACUUAGAUGGCCAUGCUUUCUUCGCCGUCGAGUUCGACACCGUCUUGAAUCCUGAGAUCGGGGACAUCGAUGACAACCAUGUUGGGAUUGAUGUCAACAGCUUGGCCUCAGUUGAAUCCCAAACUGCUGGCUUCUAUAACUUCUACGGUGAGUUCCAAACUGUUGUACUCAGAAGCAGUGAACGAAUUCAGGCGUGGGUGGACUAUGAUAGCAAAUCAUACCAACUGAAUGUUACCUUAGCACCUUGUCAUUCCUUUAUUAAACCCCAACUUCCGUUGCUGUCGACCACUGUCAAUUUAUCCUCUUUGUUGUCACUGGGUCCAGUUUACGCUGGGUUCUCUGCAUCCAGCAGAAAAGUCUCCUCCAGCCAUUAUGUUCUAGGCUGGAGUCUGAAGCUAGAUGGGGUGGCUGGACCACUUGACUACUCUGUUCUCCCUUUUGUCACUGAAGAUGAACUUCAACAUCGGGCCAAAUUCCAACUUCCCAGCCAUAUGAACAUUUUAGGAGCGCCAUCAAUUGUGCCAGCAGUCAUAUUAAUAGUUCUUGCUAUUCUGAUCUGUCGGCGCCUGAGAAAGGCAAAGGAAGAUGAUGAGUGGGAGAUCAAGUCUGGGAUGAUGUCUUUCACGUACAAGGAACUAGUGACCGCCACCGAAGGCUUCAGCAAUUGCACCCUCCUCGGGAAAGGGGGCUUUGGAAGGGUGUACAAAGGGGUGCUCCCUACCACCACACAGCAUGUGGCCAUCAAGCGGGUGUCGCCGGAAUCAAAGCAGGGGAAGAAGGAGUUCAUGGCGGAGAUCGCCAUCCUUGGCCAUGUCCGCCACCGAAACCUUGUCCAACUGCUAGGCUAUUGCCGGUACAAGCAGGAGCUGCUCUUGGUCUAUGACUACAUGCCCAAUGGCAGCCUUGAUAGGUACUUGUAUGACAAGACUACGCCGACCCUGGAUUGGGCUCAGAGGCUUCGCAUCAUCAAAGGCGUAGCUUCCGGCCUCUACUACCUGCACGAGGAUUGGGAGCAAGUCAUCAUCCAUCGGGACAUCAAGGCGAGCAACGUUCUCCUCGACGACGACAUGAAUGGGAGGCUUGGUGACUUUGGCCUCGCAAGGUUGCAUGACCAUGGAGUCGAUGCCCACACCACACAUGUAGCAGGCACCUGGGGAUACAUUGCCCCUGAGCUGGCCCGGCUUGGCAAGGCGACCAAGGCGACCGACGUUUUUCAUUUGGAGUGUUUACCAUAG
rnacentral:rRNA from 1 species